CUCCCUCUCUCCAAUUUCUAGUUUUUUCUGUUCUUCCCUCCGAAGAACAGACACCCGUCGAUCUUCUCCACCAAGCCACCUUAGUUAAAUAGCUUCCACGGUAAGCACCUCCAUACCAUACUAUGCAUUCUCCAAGCCACGCUUCCCUUUAUCCCUACCUGUACCGAGCCAAUCGUGAUCUCCAGAGACGCGACAAUGGCCAUCCAUGGCCGACCUCCUUCCACCUCCUCUCCCAUGCUGGGAACUCCCUGAACGGAAUCCCCAUCCACUCCUCUCUCUACCCGUACCCUCAUAUUCGAAAACGGUGGCCGGUAGCGCCGUUCCGGCAAGGCUCCAGUGAGCUCGAGCCGCGGCCAUGGCUGCGCUGGGAAAGGGGACGACGUCCUGUUCCCGUACCCCUCUCUCCUGUGUUAUCCUUUUACACCAGCUGAGCCCCCACAUAAACCACACUACAGCCCAUAAAACCACGCCACCUCAAGCCUAUUACGUGCUAAUAAAGGCCCGUAAGCAUCCUCCUAAUUAUGUCAUUUUAUUUUCGAAAUAAAACCAUCAGCUAAGCAAACGCCAUAUCUCAUCCAUCCAAGCUCCGAUCGACUUGAUUCUUCCUUCUAAAUUCAAAACCUAUCCAUCCAUACUAAUUUCCUAAUUUUCAGAGUUCAUUUGAAUUUAUAUUUAUUUGUGCUUGUGUUGCUCUGUUUUACGCGUGUUAGCUGACGGAGAGUUCGUAGCUGACGAAGAAGAAGAGCCAGUGUUAGCUGACGGAGAGUUCGUAGCUGACGAAGAAGAAGAGCUAGGAGUUGAGUUCAGUGAGCUGGAGCCUGGAGCGUGAGAGUUUUAAGCAGCAGUUACCUGAAGGCUUCGAAGAAGGCAAGCCCAACCUAUUCCUUUGAUCAUAUUCAUCCCAGAUUUCCUGAAGGCUUCGAAGAAGGCAAGCCCAACCUAUUCCCUAUGAUCAUAUUCAUCCCAGAUUUCAAACACAACCCGUAGAAGUCAUUUUACAAAUUACAUCCAGUUAUAUAUGACCAAAUUAUUUUACUAUUGAUAUAGCUAAAACGGAUAGCCACUUCUUAAUUGAUAUAUCUUAAUUAUACCUUGAUAACUUAAGGAUUUAUCGUUAGACAUGAUACGCACACUCAAUAUCAAUACUUGUUUUGCAAAUUCAACUGUUUUACAAAAUAGAAAAUGUGUUAGGUAUACCGCAAGACACCUCUAUCUCCCAAGUUCUAAUCCAAUGUUAUCUUCACCAGCUUAACAAGAUCUUAAAAGAGGUGUGGUACUUCUCCCAAGAGGGAGAACAGCCUUUGAAGAGUAUCAGGCCGUUCGGCAGAGCUAGAAGCCGCUGCCGCUGCUGGCUUCUGCUGCCAGCAGCUGCAGCGCAGCUUCUAGCUGCUGCUUGCGGCUUGUAACAGUGGCUAACGGCCGUUUGGACGACUGAAACUCCAAACUUUAGUUAGUCCUGUUACCAAAACAAUUUAUCCACUAAACAAUUUAGCAAGUCUCAUUUGCCUAUUUUUUUUUAUAGAAUGAAACUAUUGUCAGGCGUGGGACUACAAAUCAUUCGGGAAUUGUUGAGAAUUAAAAAAUAUAAGGUUGUUAAGAUUACAUAAAAUAAAUUGUUUCCCUACCGAUGGGAGCGAGGGAGCGGUGACAGCUUAUCCUUAGCAAUUUUCGGUCUGUUUUCCCUACGGAUGCGCUGCUACAUUUGAAAAUUAAAUUUCUAACGGUAAAAGGAACUACAACAUUU
rnacentral:lncRNA from 1 species